AAAAGAAACCAACAGGGAUUACCUCAGUAACGGCGAGUGAAGCGGUAACAGCUCAAAUUUGAAAUCUGGCUCUUCUAGGGUCCGAGUUGUAAUUUGUAGAAGAUGCUUCGGGUGUGGCUCCGGUCUAAGUUCCUUGGAACAGGACGUCAUAGAGGGUGAGAAUCCCGUAUGUGACUGGCUGCCUUCGCCUAUGUGAAGCUCUUUCGACGAGUCGAGUUGUUUGGGAAUGCAGCUCAAAAUGGGUGGUAUAUUUCAUCUAAAGCUAAAUAUUGGCCAGAGACCGAUAGCGCACAAGUAGAGUGAUCGAAAGAUGAAAAGCACUUUGGAAAGAGAGUUAAACAGUACGUGAAAUUGUUGAAAGGGAAGCGCUUGCAAUCAGACUUGCCUGCCGUCGAUCAUCUCGGGUUCUCUCGAGUGCACUCGGCGGUGGUCAGGCCAGCAUCGGUUUCGGGGGUGGGAUAAAGACCUUAGGAAUGUAGCUCCUCUCGGGGAGUGUUAUAGCCUUCGGUGCAAUGCCGCCUCCCGGGACCGAGGACCGCGCUUCGGCUAGGAUGCUGGCGUAAUGGUUGUAAGCGACCCGUCUUGAAACACGGACCAAGGAGUCUAACAUCUAUGCGAGUAUUUGGGUGUUAAACCCAUAUGCGGAAUGAAAGUGAACGGAGGUACGAACCCUUAAGGGUGCAGUAUCGACCGAUCCUGAUGUCUUCGGAUGGAUUUGAGUAAGAGCAUAGCUGUUGGGACCCGAAAGAUGGUGAACUAUGCGUGAAUAGGGUGAAGCCAGAGGAAACUCUGGUGGAGGCUCGCAGCGGUUCUGACGUGCAAAUCGAUCGUCAAAUUUGCGUAUAGGGGCGAAAGACUAAUCGAACCAUUUGUGUUACUAGGUGGUUAAGAGGGAGCAGAGAUGCUGAUACUAGUCCAGCGCUGAUGGGCAACAUCAACAAACUGCCGGGGACGUCCCGCUAGGCUACGCUACCGCCUCAGACUCUGAAAGGAGGAUAGGCACCGGGUUAAUGACCCUGGGUAUGGUAAAAACGCGUUAGAUAGGGAUAAUCCGCAGCCAACUCCUACGAGGUCUUCAUACCUACGGAGACGGUUCACAGACUAAAUGUUGGUGGGCAUAGUACUAGAUACUAUGCUUAAGAUAUAGUCGAAUCCACUGGGAGACCAGAUGGUAG
rnacentral:rRNA from 1 species